UUCAAACCUCUGCUACUAUUCUUCAAUCAACUAAAUCCAUCUGUUUGAUUUGUUUCAUCCCGAGAAGAAGCACAAUUACAGAAUUUAUGUUGUUCUACAACAUUUGUUUGAUUCAAGGAUUAAACUAGAGCUAAGUUAAACCUAUGUAUGACUGAUUGUUGCAGAUUGUUGAUUUGAGAAGAUUUUUGCAGAUUUGAGAAGAUGAAGACAAUAAUCUAGAAGAGGAAGUUUAAACAACGUCGUUCUAGAAGAAGAAAUACAAAUCUAGAAGAGGAAGAAGAAACCACAUUGUUUCAGAAAAAUAACAACAAAAUUAGGUUGCCAUGGCGGUUGUGAGUUGCAUUGCUGUUGUACGCUACUUUGCAGAUUUCAUUACCACUCGUGUUGGUAUUGAAACCACACUUGAUGAGUUUAAGGACCAAGUUUGCAAGCAAUGGAAGCAAUUUACUCCAUUUGGUAUUUGUUUCUUCUUCCGAGAAGGUGAGAAAGAUCUUCCAGUUGACUGUGAUUAUUCGCUUCAAGCUCUUACAUCCCUUACACAUAGUAAAAAUAAAAUAAAAUACUAGUUUCAAUAUUUUCUUGCAAAAUGUUAUUCAUGUAGCCUCCUCAUCUAGCUCUAGGUCAUAUUCUUCUACUAAUAAUGGUUCUAGUACGUCGUCGAGAAACACUCAAUCAGUUGGAAUGUAUUUGGAAGAUAAGAGCAAGCCUGCAAAACCUUUGUUAUCGGAUGGUUGGCCUAAAGUCCUUGGUGAGAUUGGUCAUGUGUUUGUUAAAGGAGUUAAGGAAGUCGGGAUUGCUUGCACCAAGUAUCGUCUUCGCACUGGUUUCAACAUGGUUGUAACACACAAUGAACGUUCUAGGUUCACGGCUAAGUGUGCCGUAAAAGAAUGCGGUUGGAAAUUUCAUGCAGCUUCUAUUGAUGAAAGGAAUGAAAUGUUUUAGGUUGGUUUUUUGUGUUCGGUUAUCUGUGGUAGUUAGCAUAUGUAAUGUUUUGUUACAGUAUAUGUUUUAUAGUAUGUGUAACUUUGAUUUACACAUGAUGUAUU